rnacentral:rRNA from 1 species
CCCAGACUCCUACGGGAGGCAGCAGUGGGGGAUAUUGCACAAUGGGGGGAACCCUGAUGCAGCGACGCCGCGUGGGUGAAGGAGCGUUUCGGCGCGUAAAGCCCUAUCGGCAGGGAAGAAGGAGGACGGUACCUGACUAAGAAGCCCCGGCUAACUACGUGCCAGCAGCCGCGGUAAUACGUAGGGGGCAAGCGUUAUCCGGAUUUACGGGGUGUAAAGGGGGCGCAGACGGCAGCGCAAGCCAGGAGUGAAAGCCCGGGGCCCAACCCCGGGACGGCUCUUGGAACUGGGGGCCUUGAGUGCGGCGGAGGCAUGCGGAAUGCGCGGUGUAGCGGUGAAAUGCAUAGAUAUCGCGCAGAACCCCGAUUGCGAAGGCAGCGUGCCGUGCCGCCACUGACGCUGAGGCACGAAAGCGCGGGGAUCGAACAGGAUUAGAUACCCCAGUA